rnacentral:rRNA from 1 species
GUGGGGAAUUUUGCGCAAUGGGGGAAACCCUGACGCAGCAAUGCCGCGUGGAGGACGAAGGUCUUCGGAUUGUAAACUCCUUUUGCAGGGGAAAAAUGUCUGCGUGAAAAACGCAGAUCGAUGGUACUCUGCGAAUAAGCCACGGCUAACUUCGUGCCAGCAGCCGCGGUAAGACGAAGGUGGCAAGCGUUACUCGGAAUUACUAGGCGUAAAGCGUGGGUAGGUGGUUCGGUAAGUCUGUUGUGAAAGCUCCUGGCCCAACCGGGAGAGGCCAAUGGAUACUGCCGGGCUUGAAUCGGGGAGGGGUCACUGGAAUUCCUGGUGUAGCGGUGAAAUGCGUAGAGAUCAGGAGGAACACCAAUGGCGAAAGCAGGUGACUGGACCCGUAUUGACACUGAGCCACGAAAGCUAGGGGAGCAAACAGGAUUAGAUACCCUUGUAGUCC